AGAGUUUGAUCCUGGCUCAGAGCGAACGCUGGCGGCAUGCUUAACACAUGCAAGUCGCACGGACCUUUCGGGGUGAGCGGCGGACGGGUGAGUAACACGUGGGUAACCUACCUAUAAGACUGGGAUAACUUCGGGAAACCGGAGCUAAUACCGGAUAACAUUUGGAACCGCAUGGUUCUAAAGUGAAAGAUGGUUUUGCUGUCACUUAUAGAUGGACCCGCGCCGUAUUAGCUAGUUGGUAAGGUAACGGCUUACCAAGGCGACGAUACGUAGCCGACCUGAGAGGGUGAUCGGCCACACUGGAACUGAGACACGGUCCAGACUCCUACGGGAGGCAGCAGUAGGGAAUCUUCCGCAAUGGGCGAAAGCCUGACGGAGCAACGCCGCGUGAGUGAUGAAGGGUUUCGGCUCGUAAAACUCUGUUAUUAGGGAAGAACAAAUGUGUAAGUAACUGUGCACGUCUUGACAGUACCUAAUCAGAAAGCCACGGCUAACUACGUGCCAGCAGCCGCGGUAAUAC
rnacentral:rRNA from 1 species